UCUUGAGGUUCUUGUAUCCUCAGCACAUACAGGGUUUAGAGAGAUCUGCUGUGGUGAUCUUUGCUUAUUUUGUUGACAAGAUGGCAUCUGACAAACUUCUGGCUCCCUCCCUGGAACUUCCAACAUCCAUGCUGGGUCCGCUGGUGGCAGUUUCAUGCCUUUGUGCCUUGGGUCCUGACAUGGAAUGCCACCAGCAGGCUGCACAAACCCUCUGAAAUCUCCUGCCCGGGAAAGAAGUACAGAUCACUUGCAGUGGCCGCAAACCAGCAAGGUCAAGAUCAGAGGAUCUGGAACUACAACCAUCCUCUGCGGAAGACAGCAACUCCGGAAACAGAAGAUUCCACGAACGGCUGUCAUCUGCGAAAGAGACCCACUGAUUAUGCCAAGUAGACACCUCUGCCCUCGAACCAAAAAAUUGUGGUGACUUCGAUACCUUGAUAUACAACUGUUAACACCUCCAUCCUUUGUUUAUCUCGCAUCAAUUGCCCACUUUUGCCAGUGGCACACACACACAUGAGCAUGUCUUCCCCCGUUCUGCCGGACCCGCAUGUCAGCAAUUGCACAUCAAUUGGACGCUCCUCAAAUGGUUGGUGCUAUUUUCCAGAACACUGAUUGUAUGUGUGUAUGUAUGCUCUUGUUGACCAUUUUUUAUUAUUAUUUCAGGGUUCUAGGGUUUUUUUUUUUUGCCAAAUCUUUUUUACUGAUUUUCAAUUUUAUUUACGAACCGGCCACCAACUGAAACAAAUUUAACAUUUUUCCAAAGAAAAACCAGUUUAACAUUUUUCCAAAUCUGACUUCCUGCACACC